GCGACGAGCAAAGACUGAAACGCACUUUCCUUCUUCACACUUUCUAGUUUGUAUCGUCAUCGCCUUAGGAUUUUGUGCUAAA